rnacentral:rRNA from 1 species
GACGAACGCUGGCGGCGUGCUUAACACAUGCAAGUCGAACGCUGAAGCUCAGCUUUUGUUGGGUGGAUGAGUGGCGAACGGGUGAGUAACACGUGAGUAACCUGCCUCCUUCUUUGGGAUAACGCCCGGAAACGGGUGCUAAUACUGGAUAUUCACUGGUCUUCGCAUGGGGGUUUGUGGAAAGGGUUUUUCUGGUGGGGGAUGGGCUCGCGGCCUAUCAGCUUGUUGGUGGGGUGAUGGCCUACCAAGGCUUUGACGGGUAGCCGGCCUGAGAGGGUGACCGGUCACAUUGGGACUGAGAUACGGCCCAGACUCCUACGGGAGGCAGCAGUGGGGAAUAUUGCACAAUGGGCGCAAGCCUGAUGCAGCGACGCCGCGUGAGGGAUGGAGGCCUUCGGGUUGUGAACCUCUUUCGCUCAUGGUCAAGCCGCAACAAUGGUUGUGGUGAGGGUAGUGGGUAAAGAAGCGCCGGCUAACUACGU